rnacentral:rRNA from 1 species
CUCCUACGGGAGGCAGCAGUAGGGAAUCUUCGGCAAUGGGGGCAACCCUGACCGAGCAACGCCGCGUGAGUGAAGAAGGUUUUCGGAUCGUAAAGCUCUGUUGUAAGAGAAGAACGGGUGUGAGAGUGGAAAGUUCACACUGUGACGGUAUCUUACCAGAAAGGGACGGCUAACUACGUGCCAGCAGCCGCGGUAAUACGUAGGUCCCGAGCGUUGUCCGGAUUUAUUGGGCGUAAAGCGAGCGCAGGCGGUUUGAUAAGUCUGAAGUUAAAGGCUGUGGCUCAACCAUAGUUCGCUUUGGAAACUGUCAAACUUGAGUGCAGAAGGGGAGAGUGGAAUUCCAUGUGUAGCGGUGAAAUGCGUAGAUAUAUGGAGGAACGCCGGUGGCGAAAGCGGCUCUCUGGUCUGUAACUGACGCUGAGGCUCGAAAGCGUGGGGAGCGAACAGGAUUAGAUACCCUGGUAGUCCACGCCGUAAACGAUGAGUGCUAGGUGUUGGGUCCUUUCCGGGAUUCAGUGCCGCAGCUAACGCAUUAAGCACUCCGCCUGGGGAGUACGACCGCAAGGUUGAAACUCAAAGGAAUUGACGGGGGCCCGCACAAGCGGUGGAGCAUGUGGUUUAAUUCGAAGCAACGCGAAGAACCUUACCAGGUCUUGACAUCCCGAUGCUAUUCCUAGAGAUAGGAAGUUUCUUCGGAACAUCGGUGACCGGUGGUGCAUGGUUGUCGUCAGCUCGUGUCGUGAGAUGUUGGGUUAAGUCCCGCAACGAGCGCAACCCCUAUUGUUAGUUGCCAUCAUUCAGUUGGGCACUCUAGCGAGACUGCCGGUAAUAAACCGGAGGAAGGUGGGGAUGACGUCAAAUCAUCAUGCCCCUUAUGACCUGGGCUACACACGUGCUACAAUGGUUGGUACAACGAGUUGCGAGUCGGUGACGGCAAGCUAAUCUCUUAAAGCCAAUCUCAGUUCGGAUUGUAGGCUGCAACUCCCCUACAUGAAGUCGGAAUCGCUAGUAAUCGCGGAUCAGCACGCCGCGGUGAAUACGUUCCCGGGUCUUGUACACACGC